rnacentral:tRNA from 1 species
AGCCGCGGCGUGCUCGGCGCGGCGCUGCCGGUGCGGGCGGCGACCGGACGGGUCCGGCUCUUGGCCGCGGCGUUCCUGCUCGCCUCGUGGUUGCC